rnacentral:rRNA from 1 species
CAGCCGCCGCGGUAAUACGUAGGGUGCGAGCGUUAAUCGGAAUUACUGGGCGUAAAGCGUGCGCAGGCGGUUCGUUAAGACAGAUGUGAAAUCCCCGGGCUUAACCUGGGAACUGCAUUUGUGACUGGCGAGCUAGAGUAUGGCAGAGGGGGGUAGAAUUCCACGUGUAGCAGUGAAAUGCGUAGAGAUGUGGAGGAAUACCGAUGGCGUAGGCAGCCCCCUGGGCCAAUACUGACGCUCAUGCACGAAAGCGUGGGGAGCAAACAGGAUUAGAUACCCCAGUAGUCCCUGUCUCUUAUAA